GGUUCCAUAGUGUAGUGGUUAGCAUGUCUGCUUUACACGCAGAAGGUCCUGGGUUCGCAUCCCUCUGGAGCCA
rnacentral:tRNA from 1 species